UACGGAGGGUGCAAGCGUUAAUCGGAAUUACUGGGCGUAAAGCGUGCGUAGGCGGUUCGUUAAGUCUGUUGUGAAAGCCCCGGGCUCAACCUGGGAAUGGCAAUGGAUACUGGCGAGCUAGAGUGUGUCAGAGGAUGGUGGAAUUCCCGGUGUAGCGGUGAAAUGCGUAGAGAUCGGGAGGAACAUCAGUGGCGAAGGCGGCCAUCUGGGACAACACUGACGCUGAGGCACGAAGCGUGGG
rnacentral:rRNA from 1 species